rnacentral:rRNA from 1 species
CAACUGGAGAGUUUGAUCCUGGCUCAGAACGAACGCUGGCGGCGUGCCUAACACAUGCAAGUCGUGCGAGAAAGUCUCCUUCGGGAGGCGAGUAAAGCGGCGCACGGGUGAGUAACACGUAGGUAACCUGCCCCGUAGUCGGGAAUAACUGGCUGAAAAGCCAGCUAAUGCCGGAUAAGACCACGGCCACUUCGGUGGCUGGGGCCAAAGGCGGCCUCUGCAUUGCAAGCUGUCGCUACGGGAUGGGCCUGCGGCCCAUUAGCUAGUUGGUAGGGUAAUGGCCUACCAAGGCUACGAUGGGUAGCUGGUCUGAGAGGAUGAUCAGCCACACUGGGACUGAGACACGGCCCAGACUCCUACGGGAGGCAGCAGU